UCAGCAGAAAGAUCUGGACACCCCAGCCUAGAUGUCCCGUCCCCAAGCCCUGACAUCAGCCCUCCUCUCUUUACUAAUGCAUGAUGCCUGAUAACAGAAACGCGUUGUUCAAAAAAGUAAGAAAACUCAGCAUGCGGAAGGUAACACUUCACAAGCUCUGCUCCUGGGUCCAAGGUCAGGAGAGGGACCAGGGGCUUGAGAAGAGUCCAUUUGGAAAAGACUUAAAGUUCUCCAGAAACAGCAGUAAUGGUGAUGACAACUAACAUGACCCGGCGGUGACUUUACCAGAACCGGGCUCUUGCUGCUGCUGCUGCAGGGGGAGAAUGAGGCAGAGGGAUGACCUGGAAGAGGAGCCAAGCUCUUCACACAUUCCAUUAAGCAAGUAUGGAUGGAAUCUUUUUUGGAUAAGUGCAAAGAAAUGCCUGAAGUGACCUCUCACUUAUGGAGACCUGAUUUUUGAUAACCUCCACAUCCCACAGCCUGUGAAUAAACCAAAAAAAGAGGAAAGCCA
rnacentral:antisense_RNA from 1 species